rnacentral:lncRNA from 1 species
AUUGUUGUUAUGACAUUUGGUUAUUCCAAAGAGGGUUUAAAAGCUCAUUAGUGUAUGUGUGGGAGGGGAUCUUCUGUUCGCAUAAUGCCAGAUACUGCACUGUUUUUUUAUUUGUUUGUUUUUAAUCCUCUUUUACAAAUUCUCAAGAAUUAAGUGCUCACUUGGUUGGUAUUUUCCUAAAAAAAGAAAAGAGAGGGAGAGAGAAGAAAAUUACUCUGUAUAGUUUGAAUAAAUAAGUGAAAGAUGACAAACACUCAGGACUGUGAAAAGACAAUCCUUUGCUGAAAGAUGUCUUCUGGUUAAAGUGUCAUCCAGUUCAAGAUCAGGUUAAAAAUAAUGAAAGAUCAGAAGGAAGGACAGAAUUUUUGGAGUUGUCUGUCUUCUGGACAGCAGAGACAUGUUGUUUAGGGCAGCUAAACCUUCAACUUGUCCUAGUAAUGAACUGACAACCAGUUCAGUUAUCCCUUGAGUAUCAGCGACACCACAUACUCAGACUCCUGCAACAUGAAGAAUCUCAGGAAGAUCCAAUAAACAAGUUGGGCUGGUUGCACAUAACUCUAGUUGCCUUCAGACCCAAUACCCUUGGGGGGUCUGAACUUGUAGAAGGCAUCACCAAAUAUCCUUGGCUGAAUUUCCACCAGUCUCAAGCAGAAUGUAAGAGGGAAUGGUGUACUAAUGAAAGGAUACUAUUCCUGCUCCACAAUGGAAAUAAAAUCUUGUGAUUCUACCAUGAUGCCAAUUUGUCUGGCCACUUCAAAUUUCUAAAGACUGUUGCACUCAAUACACAGUUCCUACUGGAACUUUGAACAUUGUCAAGGCCUAUCCUACUUGCCCCUUCUUGAAAUGGGCACUGGAUAAGACUUUUGCAACUUUUGCCAACUCCACAACACAUAUAGAC